rnacentral:rRNA from 1 species
UACGUAGGGUGCGAGCGUUAAUCGGAAUUACUGGGCGUAAAGCGUGCGCAGGCGGUGAUGUAAGACAGAUGUGAAAUCCCCGGGCUCAACCUGGGAACUGCAUUUGUGACUGCAUCGCUGGAGUGCGGCAGAGAGGGAUGGAAUUCCGCGUGUAGCAGUGAAAUGCGUAGAUAUGCGGAGGAACACCGAUGGCGAAGGCAAUCCCCUGGGCCUGCACUGACGCUCAUGCACGAAAGCGUGGGGAGCAAACAGG